GUAAUGAACACCUGGAAGGAGUAGUGCAGAGAAGUAUAAUACCCCAGAGAGCAUGUCUUUUGGGCCCCUGGAAGGCCUCCAGCAUCCAUAGGAGACUGGAUCCAGUGCUACUUCAUGAAUGGUUUCUAUUUCAUUUUGCCUUCCUCAGACUACUAUAUUUCCAUUUUUCCCAGUUCAUGGACAUUUCUAGCAUCCCUGGCUUAUAUCCAAUCUCUGAAAGCCUGACCAGAUUAGAAGACAGCACUUCCAUUUUGUGGAGACAUCCAACCUGAGGACAGUGCCCUAAGCAAGCAAGCGGUGCUAGCCAACCUCAGUCAGCCAGUGGCAGGACACCUGCAAGUGACAGUCAGGAGCAUGGGGAGACAGGGAGAAGGAAGGUGGAAGUCUGCGCCGUGUCACUAGCACAGCAUGAGGAAUCCUCUGUCCUGUCUUAGGCUGCUGAUCCACACUGCAGGCUGAAAAUGCUGCUGCUGUUCACAUCUCCCUCAGGGAAACCGUGACUGAGUUUGUGCCUUGCCCAGCAUCUUGCAUUGACAACAUUUUGGCAGCUGGAAAUUCACAUGCAUGUUCCUGGAAAUUUGAGGUGAUUCGUACAAUAUCCCAACAGACUGAUGGAACAAUGCAAAAAUGAAAAGAUAUUAACUAGCGGCGACACUUACCAGAAGGACCAUCCGUAGUCCCAUGAAUGAGGCCUCCAGUCCUCUGGUCCAAGGCUGACUGUCACUUGGAAAACUUGAGUAUACAUCAUGUGUGCCACCAUCCCCAAGAGACCUGAGAAUUUUAUGGGUCUUUUAUGCCUCCUAUUCUAAUGUGGAGGUGUUUGCAGAGGAAAGGUGUGACUGAGAGCUCAUUAUUUUACAUCAUACUGAAUUCUCAAUUAAGAGGAGAGUUAAAGAAAGAAAACCGUUGAAGAAAAUUUUGCACAAUUAGCAUUGCCUCUAACCAUGCUGCUGCAAAACAAGGGUAUACCACCCACAAGAUAUGUCACUUAGCCCAUCUCAGACAGGCCUCAGUAUUACAGACUACCCUGAGGCUUGUCAUAGACACUUGGAGCCAUAAGGAGGUUUGAGAAGGCCAGAACUAACUUCAGCAAGGCUGUUCUGUUCUGAUCCAUCAUACAAAGAUUUAAUGGGGGUUGCGGUAAUGUUCAGACCUUUCACUGUGUGGGAGGCUGGGAUGCCAGUCCAGUGACACAGGUGAGUAGGAGGUCAUGAGCAGAGACUGCUGAAAUUCAGGCACCAAAGUGAAAUUGAGGCAUUUACUGCUUUUUCUGCCUAACUGGGGUGGGGAUGUUGGGGGUGGACACUUGUCUCUGCUGUCAAUGGCAAUAUGCAAUGUAUAAGCUAUAG